rnacentral:misc_RNA from 1 species
UCCGGUUUGUCACCGGCGGUCUCCUUAGAGUUCCCACCAUUACGUGCUGGCAACUAGGGACAAGGGUUGCGCUCGUUGCGGGACUUAACCCAACAUCUCACGACACGAGCUGACGACAGCCAUGCAGCACCUGUAUCCCGGUUCCCGAAGGCACCAAUCCAUCUCUGGAAAGUUCCGAGUAUGUCAAGGGCAGGUAAGGUUCUUCGCGUUGCAUCGAAUUAAACCACAUGCUCCACCGCUUGUGCAGGCCCCCGUCAAUUCCUUUGAGUUUCGGUCUUGCGACCGUACUCCCCAGGCGGCAUACUUACUGUGUUAACUUCGGCACCGAGGAAUCGAAUCCCCGACACCUAGUAUGCAUCGUUUACGGCGUGGACUAC